GACUGCAUGGGGCUCCUCCACUCACCAAAAGCAAGAGGAAGGAGGAGCAGGGGCAACUCUCCAGCUGCCCUACCAUGCAUCAGAAAGCCAGAAAUGGGCAGCACGGUGUUUCCAGGUCCCAAGCGCACCCAGGCCUGCUUCCCAGAGCCACACUGCACACCUCUCCCACCUGCCUAACUGGGUCGUUUAACCAGAGAGGAGACAUCCCUGGCCUGGGCAGCCCUACUCUCCCGGCUCCCAGAGGUCCCGUUCCUGGCAGCCUGGCAGAGCAGCCUCGAGUGCUGGAGAAAGCCACUUUGGCAUAUUAAUCACAGCAAAUGAAUGUGCCCUGCCGGCUCUCGCAUGGGGCACCUCGCUAAUACUGGGCUUGCACUACAGCUUUCGGAUUCAACCAGUGUUUUGAUUUCCUGACCCAACUUCCCUCCACAUGAAAAACAGCCAACAGACCAGCCACACCAGGUACCACCGCAAAACAUGCAGAAGCGGCAGGCAGCGAGAAAGAGCUGGAGCCAGCACCACAGGGCCGGAGCAAGCCGGAGGAGCUCCUGGAAGAGUAAAAAGUGAGAGGUCAGCCCUGCGUCACCAUGGCAACCCACACAGCUCGGGCCAGGAGCAGAUGAACGGAGCUCUUUACGCCGUGUGAUAACCAGGAAAUGAGGAAAGACCCAUGGGUACCAGGCCCUGGGUUAGGUGCUGUACCGUCUUAUUGCCUCUGAUCCUCACAGUGGUCUCAUGAGCCACAGAAUCGAAUACGACAUUGCAUCCCUCCCGUUAGCUCAUUAGCAAUGAAGGAUCUGAUCUUUACAAGAAAAAUUGGGAAAUUUCACCACAGAUGGGAAUGCCUUGAUUGCUUGGUGAGGCUGUGACUGCACAGUCAGCAACAGGUGCUGUUGCUUUUGUAGAACCCUGUGCUUCAAAAGACAAGCUGAGACUCCGAAAUGAAAGUUAAUGACAAAUCCAGCCAGAGUGAACAGAUGGAGUGACAAGUGACAGCCCAUCUUAUAUAUAUGAAUACCCAUUAGCAGGAUGUGCUGCAAUAUGCUGCUUGUCAUCUGUUUCAAAGACACAGUGAUAGGAUACAGGUUUGUGCUUCCCCAUCUGCGUGAGAUGUGUCCAUUGACUUGCUUUGACCAAUGGGGGAAGACACGUGUGUCUUCUUUGUGUAAAAGAACUGCUUUGUUCUCCACCACUUUCUUGCCCUUGCUACAGCAAUGGGAGACUCCCAAUGAUGGAGCCUUCAUCAGCCUGAGUCUCUGAGUGAGGAUUUUGUAGAGAAGAGCCCCUCACAAAUCUAAAGAUGGACGUGUCACAUAAGUGAGAA